rnacentral:rRNA from 1 species
CCUACGGGAGGCAGCAGUGGGGAAUCUUGCGCAAUGGGGGCAACCCUGACGCAGCCAUGCCGCGUGAAUGAUGAAGGCCUUAGGGUUGUAAAGUUCUUUUGCCCGUGACGAUGAUGACGGUAACGGGAGAAUAAGCUCCGGCUAACUUCGUGCCAGCAGCCGCGGUAAUACGAAGGGGGCUAGCGUUGUUCGGAAUUACUGGGCGUAAAGCGCGCGCAGGCGGUUCGAUAAGUUAGGGGUGAAAUCCCUGGGCUCAACCCAGGAAUGGCCUUUAAGACUGUCGAGCUAGAGGACGAGAGAGGUGAGUGGAAUUCCCAGUGUAGAGGUGAAAUUCGUAGAUAUUGGGAAGAACACCGGUGGCGAAGGCGGCUCACUGGCUCGUUUCUGACGCUGAGGCGCGAAAGCGUGGGGAGCAAACAGGAUUAGAUACCCUGGUAGUCCACGCCCUAAACGAUGAGUGCCAGGUGUCGGGAAGCUUAGCUUCUCGGCGCCGCAGCUAACGCCUUAAGCACUCCGCCUGGGGAGUACGGCCGCAAGGUUAAAACUCAAAUGAAUUGACGGCGNGAGACGCGCGACGACGACGACGAGGAGAGG